GACGAACGCUGGCGGCGCGCCUAACACAUGCAAGUCGAACGAGCGAGAGAGAGCUUGCUUUCUCAAGCGAGUGGCGAACGGGUGAGUAACGCGUGAGGAACCUGCCUCAAAGAGGGGGACAACAGUUGGAAACGACUGCUAAUACCGCAUAAGCCCACAGCUCGGCAUCGAGCAGAGGGAAAAGGAGUGAUCCGCUUUGAGAUGGCCUCGCGUCCGAUUAGCUGGUUGGUGAGGUAACGGCUCACCAAGGCGACGAUCUGUAGCCGAACUGAGAGGUUGAUCGGCCGCAUUGGGACUGAGACACGGCCCAG
rnacentral:rRNA from 1 species